rnacentral:rRNA from 1 species
AGCGGAGGAAAAGAAAUCAACAGAGAUUCCCUUAGUAUUGGCGAAUGAACAGGGAAGAGCUCAAGCUGUAAAUCUCCGGCUUUUGGUCGGCGAGUUGUAAGCUGUAGGCGGUAAUCUGCAGGUGGAUCUGGGACAUAAGUUUGUUGGAAUACAUCGGCAAAGAGGGUGAAACCCCCGUAUUUGGUCCUGGAGAAGCCGUAAGAUGCUUGCCAUAGAGUCAGGUAGUUUGGGAAUUCUGCCUAAAUUGGGGGAUAUACUUCCCCUAAAGCUAAAUAUCGAUGGGAAGCCGAUAGCAAACAAGUACUGUGAAGGAAAGGUGAAAAGAACUUUGAAAAGAGGGUUAAAAGAUUUGAAACCGUUGGGAAGGAAGCUAUGGGAGUUGGUCAAUGCCUGGUAUGACUUACCGAUGUGAAGCGAAAGGCUCUCUUAACCGGGGCUGGAAGUGGAGCGCAGGGAAGGUUCUCUACAGGCAGCAGGCAGGAUGGGGUCCGUUCGCGUGAAAAGCUGGGGUGAUUUUAGCUCCCCUGUGGUGCGUGAGUGGGCCUGAGGGGCUUUUGCGAUCCUGCCAAAACGACUUCUAUAGACCCGUCUUGAAACACGGACCAAGGAGUCUAUCACUUAUGCGAGUUUGCGGGUGGAAAACCCAUAGGCGCAAUGAAAGUGAGUUUAGGAUGCCAAGGCUUUAGCUGGCAGCAUCAGCCGUCCAUGAUCUUCUGUGAAUGGUAUGAGCAAGAGCAUAAUUGAUAGGACCCGAAAGAUGGUGAACUAUGCUUGAGUAGCAUGAAGUCAGGGGAAACUCUGAUGGAAGUGCGAAGCGAUACUGACGUGCAAAUCGUUCGUCGAACUUGAGUAUAGGGGCGAAAGACUAAUCGAACCAUCUAGUAGCUGGUUCCCUCUGAAGUUUCUCUCAGGAUAGCAAGUACAAUUUAGCAGUUUUACUAGGUAAAGCGAAUGAUUAGAGGUCACGGGGGGUCAAUCCUCUCGUCCUAUUCUCAAACUUUAAAUUGGUAAGAACCGAGGGUUUUCUUUAUUGAACCCGAGGGUAGAAUGCGUGUGCUUAGUGGGCCAUUUUUGGUAAGCAGAACUGGCGAUGAGGGAUGCACCUAACGUUGAGUUAAGGCGCCUAAGUCCGCAAUCAUUCGACACCAUAAAAGGCGUUGGUUCAUUAAGACAGCAGGACAGUG